GGCACAGUGGCCAAGUGGGAAGGCAUUGGUCUCGUAAACCAAAGAUCGUGGGUUCAAUCCCCACCUGUGCCU